ensembl:lncRNA
AUGAAUAUACACUACAUGAUUAAAACCCAAUCCAUCUCAGUUUCUUUACAGACCAGCUGGAGCUCUGCAAUGUCAUGCUGGAGUGAGUACCAUACUCUGUCGGAAUUACUAUUCUUUUCUUUGUCAACAGAAAAAAUGUUUCUUAAAAAAUGCUCACAUGAGAUCAAGGCACGGUGGCUCAGGCCUGUAAUCCCAGCACUUUAGAAGGUGGAUCUCUUGAGGUCAGAAGUUUGAGACCAGCCUGGCCAAGAUGGCAAAACUCCAACUCUACUAAACAAACACUCACAAACACACGCACGCACACACGCGCGCACACACACACGCACACACACAAACACAUAAAUUAGUUGGUGUGGUGACCCAUGCCUGUAAAUCCCAGUUGGUUGGGAGGCUAAGGCAGGAGAAUUGCUUGAACCCAGGAAGCAGAGGUUGCAGCGAGCUGAGAUUGUACUAGCAUGGGCCACGGAGUGAGACUUCGUCUCAAACAAACAAACAAAAACACCAAAAGAAACCACAUGAAACUACUAAAUAAGUUAAAUGAUGUCUUUGUUUUAGGGCAAAGUACAAGACAAAUUGUUCAUUAUAUGACCUUUAUAACUACACUCUCAGGUAAUUGAUAUUUUAGAACCCACUUCAUACAGUUGAAAUUUGGGUCUAAAAAUAGUUCUCUUAGAGUCUGAUGUCAGAUUACAAAACUGCCUCUUCCCACAAUAUUGUACUAUCUCUCUUGGAGAACCUGCUAGAGAAUCAUAGAAUCAGAAAUACCCUUUUUGUGACAUCUCCCAGCUGAGCCAAGUUUUAAAUUUUCUGGGAAGAUAUUACCAUGUGCAGUUUCAACCAUAUCUUUUCCAACUUUAACCACAGUUAUGCUUCAGUGGCCUACCUUUUUGCCCAAUGCCUGCACAUCUGCUUUAACACAAAACAAUUUGGAAGUUAAUAAGAGUAAUAACUCUUCUUAUUAUAGCCUCUGACAUAUGAAGAUGCUUUCCAAUCUUCCAUGAAUAUGUGAAAUUCAAAAUGUCAGCCUCCAAAUUUUCAAUAUAAUCUUAGUUGCAGUGGAACAUUUGCAGGAGGUAAUUUGCCACAGUGGUAAAAUAUUUUUGUUAAAUACUGUUAUUUUAUAGCAAGAUAUAGCAUUAACUGACACACAAGUGUGUCUUUAGAAAUGUUAUGGUCCUAAAGAAGAUGUUUAGAAAUAGGUUUCUUCCUUUUUGCUAAAUUGCUAUCUAACAGGUUUCUUAUGCCUGUGAAAUGCUAAAUAGUUGGAGUAGUAUUGACCAAAAAUGAAAAAGAAAAUAAAGGCAGAUGAUUUGAGAAGGAGGGGGUAAGGAAAAGAUCAGAUGUUUUUUCCUGACUCCUGACUUGCUUUUCAUUGUUUUUGUGUUUCUGUUUUUGUUUUUUACUUUCUCCUAUGUUUCAAAGCAGACUUUUCCAAACAUUGCCAAAUAAGAAUGUUUUUCAUAAAAAAAUUUCAAAUAUUUCUAGGUAUUUUUCUUCAAAAUCCUGGUUCAGUAAUCUUAAAUGAAACCUGAAGAACUAGUAGUUUAAUAAGUAUGCUAAAUGAUUAUUACCAAAAUGACAAUUGCGAAAUAUUUAGUAAACCAUCAGGAGCUAGGUAAUUUAAAACACUUAGUACUUGGUUCUUACUGUAAGGAUAAAGGAUUUUGUUAAAAUGAUUAUUUAAAUGCAACACUUAUAAAAAAGAUAUAAUGAGCACCUUAGCACUUUUAGUAAAUACCUUUUAAGUAUGUUUUCUAAAAUGGCAAAAUUUUUUCAUUAAUUUGAAGUUAGCAUUAUAGCCACAAAAUAAUUUCUGUGUCGGCUUGUUAAAAUCUUCAUAUUGUAAGUUCUAAAUAUUAUCCUGGGAUUUUUAAAACUCCAGAAAAACACUAUUAAAAAUAUACAUAUAAGUAAAAAUGUCAAAAAAAAUUUUUAAAUAACUCUUACAAAUAUGCAACAAUAAAUAUAGACAAUCUAACCCAGUAGAAGAAAGCAGGACAGGUCAAUACUUAGAUCAAUUUCAGAAAAGAGGAAAGUCAAAUGACCAAUAAAACAUGACUAGAUACUGGAGCUCAUUAGUAAUCAGAGGACAUAAAUCAAAACCCCAUGAAGUUCAAAUUUCAUUCACUACCUUGGCUACUAUUCAAAUAAUAAUGCCAAGUGCAGUCACGGAUGUAAGGAAAAGUAAGUUUGUUCCAUCAAUCCACAGAACUACUUGAUGAUUUGACAAUAUUUAGUAAAGUUAGGGUGACUAAAAAAACUUCAUUGUUAAAACUGAAACAUUUUUAGAAUAAAAAAGUACUAAAAUAUACAAAAUUAUUUCACAUUUAAUAUAUUAUUUACUUACAAAUAGGUUUUACUAUAUUGAUGGGCCUAUAAAAUAGUUUUCUUCAAACUGUUUUUGAAAAUAUAAUCUGCCAGGCAUGGUGGCUCACGCCUGUAAUUCCAGCACUUUGG